UAAAAACUCCAGCCGCCGCUUACUCACCAAAUUCAGCGGACCCAUUUUCCUGCAGCUCCUGCUCUUUAUAAAUGGCAGCCUGCGCCGUUGCUCGUCUGGACACAGACCUGCUCGGGUUCAAGGUUUACUGGGAGCUGGAGUCUGCUGUCUGCUAAAAUUAGCUUAGCACGCGGCUCAGCUUUCAAUCAGCACAAGAUCCUCAAAAAUCCUCAUCGGUCACCGUAACUGCUGGGAGUGGCGGCGCGUGGACCUGGAAACGGGAAACAGGCCGGCGGCUCCAGUCCGGAGGCCCACUGGCUCGCACCUGGUCGUCAAGGCAACAACCACGGGAGGGAGAGAGUGAAACGGAGAGACGAACGCGGUUCCGCGCAUCAGGAAGUGGCUCAGUGGCUGCGCACGAGGAGCUUCCUGCAGGAAGGAGCCACGGAGUUACCUCCACUGAGCGGCCGAGCCCAGCGGUCACUGCUGCCAUCUGGGUUAGUGAUGAGACAGAGACUCCUGCUGGC